UCGGCCAGGCCCCUCGGGCUGGGGGCAGCUCUGUCCCCUUAGGGGGAAGGGAGGCCCCCUCCUCACCACUGUCACUGUCCCUAGGGCAGACUUUCCCCCUAUCUAGGGCCCAGGUGGGAGGGAGAAAAGGAGAAAGGGAGGAAGGGCAGGGAGGCCUAGGGCAGAGACCUGGGCCGGGGCUCACCAGGGUAGAAGUCUUUGGACUUGGAGAGCUUGAUGGUGGCUCCUGUCUCCUUCUGCAGCUGCACGAUGGUCUGCCCGCCCUUGCCAAUGAUGGAGCCCGCCGCGUAGCUGGGGAUCAGCACCUUCAGGAAGUAUUCGCCUUCCUCUGCGGGGGCACACAGGGUGGAGGGAGGAACCCAUCAUACAGAUGAGGAAACAAAGGUGAAUAAAUCACCCAAGGACACUUGUAGAUGGCAGAGCUGAGACUUGAAGAGUCCGUGCUCUGAACUAUUAUGAUCAGCAGACUAUGGAGGAAGGAACAGAACCACGUGGCUAUGUGAAGGACGAGGAGGAGGUGGGAGGCCCCCACCCCACCCACUGCCAGGCCUCACGGAGAGGAAAGGGUGCACUCUGCCUGAAGCCAUCCCUCUCCCAUCCGGAGGAAAAGACCAGAGGAAGUGGAGAUUUUGGCAAGAUGAGGAAACAGCCUUAGGAGCAUACUUUGACUUCACUUGGUCAAGACAAGAAAUUUCGGCUGGGCGCGGUGGUUCAUGCCUGUCAUCCCAGUACUUUGGGAGGC